CACAACUCCAAUCAGAAAUGGAAUAGUUUUGUUUUGUGAUUUUGGGAGCAACCAAUCAAAAGAUCAGUGUGAAUUUGUUUCAUCACACUGAUGAUCAGUGCCCAACCGAAAAGAACCGAAAAAACCAAAACUAUCUAAACGACGUCGUUUUGUCUGUUUUGACUUUUAAGUCACAAACCCUAAAGGACUAGAGGGUUCCACGUUCGCGACUCUCUUUCUUCUCUGCCGCUCUAGCCUCUCUUCUCUCCGUCUCUCUCGCCCUUCUUCUUCGAAGUCUCACUCAAUCCUACUACGGCAUUCCGCAAGAGCUCUCCGAUGUUCGGAAGCUCCGGCUGUUAUGAAUCUAUGAGUAGAUCUGUUAUAAAGGUCCAAGAUUGGAGGGCUCCAAAGUUUGUGACGGAGAUGGGGCUUAGCAAUAUUACCAAUUUCAGAAGAAAGGCUUAUGGAUCUCUCUCUCUCCUGCUGAGUCUCCACUGCGAAGACUCGGUCGAAGCUGACACCGGAACUGCUUUUAAUACUUCACACGAGGUCAGAUCUUCAUGUUGCUCACUUUGUGCUUAGACUUUCGAGCUCCGGUAAUGGCCGCCAGCCUUACAUCUCCCCUGAUGGAGCUGCUGGGAUUGUUAAAGAUGGUCUGAGGUGUUGUGCCAAAUGAAAGGCUUGGAUGGGUUGACUGCUCCUUUCACAGAAGUGGAGUGCUAUUGCAGGAGCAAGACUAUCCUAAAUUUUUCUGAGCCUGCAGCUGGGGUCAGGUUACAUCGAAUGAUGCUUGAAGAUUUGCCGAAUGGUAUUAUGGAUGAGGUACUGUGAGCACGUUGCCAUUUGCUUUGAAAGAGUUUGUCCAUAUCAAAGAAGGGUUGCAGUUGUGGAGAAGAAAUUUUGUUGUCUCUGGAUGUAAUGAAUUAUUUUUAGUUCGCGAAUUUGUUGUAUGAUGCAUUUUUUAAUAUAGUAUACGGUACAUGAAGAUGCAGAGGUGCCAAAUACUAGUAUUUGCUAGUAUUUGGCACCUAUUUUUUUUAUUCCAGUUUAAUGAUUUUGCCACUGAUAUCAGUGGAAUUCCGAAA